rnacentral:rRNA from 1 species
UACCAGCACCCCGAGUGGUCGGGACGAUUAUUGGGCCUAAAGCAUCCGUAGCCGGUUCUGCAAGUCCCCCGUUAAAUCCAGCUGCUCAACAGAUGGGCCGCGGAGGAUACUACAGAGCUAGGAGGCAGGAGGAGGCAAGCGGUAGCGUCAGUGGGUAGGGGUAAAAUCCGUUGAUCCAUUGAAGACCACCAGUGGCGAAGGCGGCUUGCCAGGAAUGCGACUCGG